GUUGUGUCGCUAUUUUCGCCAAAUGGUGGAAGUCUGGAAGUCUUUGUCUGAAGCCGUGACGAAGGACUGGGAUUAUAAUUGAAAUAAACUAACAAUCUUUUCAACCUGAAAAAUAGAACAAAAACAGCAGAACAUCGAACAACAUGAUAUAACAUAUAUACAUAUUAAUUACAUUUAAGUGGUGGGUGGGUGGGUAUCUUUUGAAACAACAUUUGUUAAUUUAUACGGAACCUAAUUUUCUACGUCUUGUCUCUGCUGUGGCGUGGGAAAGAAAGAAUGAAUGACGUCACAGUUAUCAAGGUUAAAAUAAUCAACGUCACUUAUAAUAUAUUAAUUCCAUAACGUGUACAAAGCGGAACAACU
rnacentral:lncRNA from 1 species